ensembl:misc_RNA Metazoa_SRP Metazoan signal recognition particle RNA
GCCGGGCGUGGUGGCGUGCACCUGUAAUCCCAGUUACUCAGGAGGCUGAGGCAGGAGAAUCGCUUGAACCCAGGAGGCAGAGGUUGCAGUGAGCCGAGAUUGUGCCACUGCACCCCAGCCUGGGUGACAGAGUGAGACUCCGUCUCAA